AUUGAACGCUGGCCGCAGGCCUAACACAUGCAAGUCGAACGGUAACAGGAAGCAGCUUGCUGCUUUGCUGUCGAGUGGCGGACGGGUGAGUCAUGUCUGGGAAACUGCCUGAUGGAGGGGGAUAACUACUGGAAACGGUAGCUAAUACCGCAUAACGUCGCAAGACCAAAGAGGGGGACCUUCGGGCCUCUUGCCAUCGGAUGUGCCCAGAUGGGAUUAGCUUGUUGGUGGGGUAACGGCUCACCAAGGCGACGAUCCCUAGCUGGUCUGAGAGGAUGACCAGCCACACUGGAACUGAGACACGGUCCAGACUCCUACGGGAGGCAGCAGUGGGGAAUAUUGCACAAUGGGCGCAAGCCUGAUGCAGCCAUGCCGCGUGUAUGAAGAAGGCCUUCGGGUUGUAAAGUACUUUCAGCGGGGAGGAAGGGAGUAAAGUUAAUACCUUUACUCAUUGACGUUACCCGCAGAAGAAGCACCGGCUAACUCCGUG
rnacentral:rRNA from 1 species